rnacentral:lncRNA from 1 species
UUUAAGAAUAUGGAGUUUAAGUAAUUCAGUGAGUCUUUUUAUCUUUUGAUAGCUAGGAAAUGGAAUGUGUCAGUCCUCACCAGUGAUGUGCCAUCUGCAGGAACAAGCUCAGAGGUUUAUAUUACAUUGUAUGGGGAUCGUGGCAGUUCGGGUCCUAUUUGGCUUGAUGGAGAGAAGGGAAAAUUAUUUCAGAGAGGCAAUGAAGACAUCUUCACAAUCAAUACUAGAAGCAUAAGACAUCUCUACAAAAUAUGUGUAGGACAUACAAAUGCAGGAAGCUCCCCUGCCUGGCACUGUGAAGAGAUUGCAGAACCUUUUCUCAGGGGAGCAGUUCUCUUUCCCUGCACAUCGAUGGCUGGCCAAAGACCAGGCUGGUGGGGAAAUAUCUGUGGAGCUUCCUGUUUUACAGCAGGGUCAGCCUAUUCUUCCAGGAAAUGGAUGGUUUCUGGACAAAGUUGUAAUGAAGGAUCCUAUAGCAGAUUUGGAUUAUACUUUUCUUUGUCACAGGUGGCUGGACGAGGGACAGGGCAACGGGAAUAUCGCUAGAGAACUGCCUGUGACAGAUGCCAGCGCGUUUCCAGGAAAACUAGUGGGCUGCAGAAAAGUGGAAAUUUCAGAAAGGCAUGACACUUCAAUUUUACAACAGGCUUACCUGUGGCUUCAUUUGCCUUUACCCAGAUGGCAGAGUUGGUGUUCUUGGUGA